GCCGGUGUAGCUCAGCGGCAGAGCGCCCGCCUUGUAAGCGGGGGGUCAACGGUUCAAUCCCGUUCACCGGCU
rnacentral:tRNA from 2 species